GGUGAAGCAGCAGGAACAACACUGCUGUGAAGAACUGCUCAUAAGAAAACUGGCUGUUGAUUAGAACUUUAUUCAAGCGUCCCUUGGUAUCCAGCUCAUCUGAAGCAUGAGAAGGGGUCCCAGGAAAUCCCACAGGUGCUGGAGCCCGGAGCACACAGGAGGAUAGACCCAGCCAGGAGCCCAGGACAGCACUGCCCAGCCCCUCCACAGGGAAGGCAACUCCAGAGCUCCUCUGGACACUCAGCAAGGAACUCUGGGCUUGAUGUGCAGCAGAAAAAAGGGAUUUGAUCAGCCUGAGCUGGGUCCAUUGUACUGGUAUUUCCAUGUGCCUGAGCUGAGUCCAUUGCACUGGCAUUUCCAUGUGCCAUAGAUACACAAAAAAAACCCCUGUAAAAUAUAUGUCAGUGACAUUUGCAGUGUUCUGAAGUUUAAGUCACCAAUUAUUCAGCCAGUCCCUUGUUUAUUGCCUCAAUAACCCACCAAGGAAAGGUGAAAGGCUAACCAAUGAAAAUACCAAAUAAUAAAAAGGUUAAAGUGCCUCAAAAGUUUGUGGCUUUGCUACUGACUACACUGAGGAUAUAAAUGAUAUUGUCUUGUUCUCAUGACAAUGACAAGAAAGCGGGACUUGUUCUUGUGGUAAAAACUCUACAGGAAAUCAAGUGUUGCAAAUUUAACUCUUUCUGUUUGCAGUCUGCAGGGUUUCCAAAUGUCAUAAUCUAUGUGAGAGGAUUCAUCAGCCCCCAAUUACAAUUCAGACAACAGAUCUCCAUAUUGAUUGCACUUCUCAUAGAUGGAGUUUUAAUUUUGAACAUUGGGUAUCUGAAUGCCAUAUUAUCUAUCCACUGUGGUUAAACAGAUACAGUGAAUAAUGCAUUCCCAUUUGACUCUCUUUGAUCAUUCCACUUUUGUUUCAAAGCUGCCACAGAACAGCUGCUUAAGGUACAGAGCUCAAAAGACACUCUCAAUCUAAAUGAUGGACAC